rnacentral:rRNA from 1 species
CCCUUAGAUGUCCUGGGCCGCACGCGCGUUACACUGAUGCAUUCAACGAGCUUAUAACCUUGGCCGAGAGGCCUGGGCAAUCUUGUUAACAUGCAUCGUGAUAGGGAUAGAUUAUUGAAAUUAUUAAUCUUGAACGAGGAAUUCCUAGUAAACGCAGAUCAUCAAUCUGCAUUGAUUACGUCCCUGCCCUUUGUACACACCGCCCGUCGCACCUACCGAUUGGAUGGUCCGGUGAAGCCUCGGGAUUGUGGUUCUUGCCGCUUUAUUGUAGCGUGACCGCGAGAACUUGUCUAAACCUUAUCAUCUAGAGGAAGGUGAAGUCGUAACA